rnacentral:rRNA from 1 species
CGCGAAUAGCUCAUUACAACAGCCGUUGUUUCUUGGAUCUCCGCUUUUACUUGGAUAACUGUGGCAAUUCUAGAGCUAAUACAUGCAAUCGAGCUCCGACUUAACAGGACGAGCACAUUUAUUAGACCAAAACCAAUCGGCGCAAGCCGUUUUCUGGUGAAUCUGAAUAACUACGCAGAUCGCUUCGGUUUCACACCGGCGACAUAUCCUUCAAGUGUCUGCUUUAUCAACUUUCGUUGGUAGUUUAUACGCCUACCAAGGUUUUAACGGAUAACGGAGAAUCAGGGUUCGACUCCGGAGAGGGAGCCUGAGAAACGGCUACCACUUCUAAGGAAGGCAGCAGGCGCGCAAAUUACCCACUCUCGGCACGAGGAGGUAGUGACAAAAAAUAACGAGAUAACCCACUCUAGCGAGUUAUCAUCGGAAUGAGUACAAUCUAAAUCCUUUAACGAGGACCUAGCGGAGGGCAAGUCUGGUGCCAGCAGCCGCGGUAAUUCCAGCUCCGCCAGUGUAUAUCUAUGCUGCUGCGGUUAAAAAGCUCGUAGUUGGAUCUUCGUGAUCGUCCCAGUCCGCCUUUGUGGUGUGAACUGACGACGUUCACUGAAUCGCUGCUUUACCCUUGUUGCUCUUAACUGGGUGACCUGGGUGGGUAGCAUGUUUACUUUGAAAAAAUUAGAGUGCUUAAAACAAGCGAUUUGCUUGAAUAUUCGUGCAUGGAAUAAUAGAAUAGGCUUUUGGCUCUAUUUUGUUGGUUUUCGGAGCACAAGAGAAUGAUUAAGAGGGAUAGACGGGGGCAUUCGUACUCCGACGUUAGAGGUGAAAUUCCUGGAUCGUCGGAUGACGCACUACUGCGAAAGCAUUUGCCAAGAAUGUUCUCAUUAAUCAAGAACGAAAGUUAGAGGUUCGAAGGCGAUCAGAUACCGCCC